CUCCUCCGAACCCAACACCUCCACCUUCCUCUUCGCCGGCACCGUCGCGGGCACGGUCUCAGCCAUUGAAUUCUUGGGUUUUUCCCUGGUUUUGCCGAACGAAGGCCGGAAGGGAGUUGAUUUGGGAGGAGAGGUUUGAAGGUUAGCUUAAAGCAAGGAAGGAAGCAAUGACGCGACAUUUCAUGUCACGCCUAAAGCAUACGCUCUUUGUUAGUGGGACUCAGCGUGCAGAAAUGACACUGACACUGACAGGCGCUUCCCUCCUCACGAUAAAAGGAGCACUUCCCUCGGCUUAGGACGAGUUUUAUUUCACGAAAAAAGUCAUAACUAAUAUAAGAUAUUUUCGAAAAAUAAUCGUUUACAAAAAUAAAAUUAUAUGAGAAUAGUUAGACAUGAAUUGUUGUUGACGUUGAUUACUUUUUCUAAUCGAUGUAAUAGAUCAUUUUUUUCGGAAAAUGUUGUGCGAAAAGCGACCUCAUUUCCACCCCCUCAUACAACUAAAUCCAGUUUAUUAAAAUUGCCAUCGAUCAUUCAAUUACAAUUUAAAGUGAAAGCCACAAAACCCUUUGGAGAAAUGCUGGAGUGUUCAACAAUCCGUCUUAAGGGGCUUUCGGAAGCUCGAUACUAGUAAUGCUAGUAGUCGGGUUUUCAACAUUUGACCUAAUGUUGAAACUAAAUUUCUUCUUCCCAAGUUAUUCUCACCAAUUUUUUUCAAUUUUCUAAUUUUGUCCUCAUUGUUGUUCAUCUCUUCUUGAGAAAGGGCAACUAGUAAGAGCGGUCGAUAGGGUGGCUGGAAAAGGGUUGGGUGUCGGCAAAGUCGUGGGAGGGCCGCUUGGGUGGCACAACCCUGGCGAUGGCCGCCUGGGUUCACGUGACCUUCACCGGGGGUUGCGCCACCUUGGGCAACGGCCGCCAACACCAGCCCAAUCUCGUCAGUGACCUUAGCUCUUUGCUGGAGGGUUUUUAUUUUUUUAUUUUUUUAAAAAGCAUAAAAAUUAGACACAAAAGCCAUUUGCAUAAAAAUAUUUGCCAAACACUAUUUAGGAUAAUAUUAGUUUUGUAAAGGAUUUUUUACCAAAUGCAAUUUACAUUUUCUCAAUUGGUUAUAGAUCAAAAGUAUUUGCAUUUCCCCGAUGCUCAUUUGCAAAGCUGAACCAAGCGCACACUAUAUUUUUUUAAUUGUUAGCUUACUUCCAUAAAAAAUAGUUUUGUUGAAAAGAGAAAUUUCCAAAAAACCUAGGCUAGGUUUGAUUAUCUUGAUUUUUAGCCAAGAUAGAACAUAUAUGAUAGGAUAAGAAAUUUAGAGACUUUCCUGUAUCCUAUUUACUAUAUGGUAAAUCGCAAUAAUAAAGUUGUAUACUUUCAUAACCUAAAAAUUAUGCAAUAUGAACGACAUAUUGAUAUAGAUGAACUUAAAAAUGCACAAACCAAUAUGGUAAGAAUCUCUCAUGAUUUACUGUUAAAGAAACCAUAGGUGCAUAAAUGCAAUAUCCUCCUCAAACAAUUCAUAAGUAUUGUACCAUUUAUAUUUUAAACAAAGAAAAAGCUGAUUGCAAUAUUUCAGAGUCACAAGUUCAACCAUGAUAAAAAAAUAUAUAAACGGGUUAUGGCAACAUCGAUAAGAUUGGUAAGCUAUCAAAUGACAAAUCUAGUAAAAAAGAGAAAACAUGAUUAUUGUUUUUUUUUUGUUUUUUUUGUGACCCAGGAACCCAGGACAGCUGGCAGUCGGUAGCUGGCGAGCAAACCUGAGGGGACACGUAAGCGGGAGGACCCAUCAACCCCCGGCGUACAACUUAAGACACCACAUAGUGCUUCAGCCUCCCUGCUUCGUAGGGGCUUCAAACCUUGUCCCUCAAGGAUAAAGGACAAAGGCUCUACCAUCCACGCUGCAACGACCGGUGGUAGAAAACAUGAUUAUUCAUAUUCGCAAUUUCGAGAAGUAUAAUCUUUUGACUCUCUCAAUAUAUAUAUGAGUUUUGAACUGUUGGGCCGAGCGUCUAAUGAGAAUCAGCCCACCCAAUGAAGCCCAAUCGAGCCCAAUCGAAAGGCCCAAAUUCCACCAUCGCUUGACGGAACCUCGGAGAGAUCGGCGACAUACUUGGCGAGAGCCGCCGCCAAUUCCUCCUCCGAACCCAACUCCUCCACCUUCCUCUUCGCCGGCACCGUCGUGGGCACGGUCUCAGCCAUAGAAUUCUUGUGUUUUUCCCUGGUUUUGCCGAACGAAGGCCGGAAGGGAGUUGAUUUCGGAGGAGAGGUUUGAAGGUUAGCUAGCGAUGCUUCUUGGUAAGGAAGGAGCAAUAGCGCGACAUGUCAUGUCACGCUUAAAGCAUAUGCUCUUUGUUAAUGGACUCCGGCGUGCUGAAAUGACACCGACAGGUGCUUC
rnacentral:lncRNA from 1 species